UCAGGAAACAAACAAAAAAAAGGAGAAAUGAAACCAAAGAGCAGCAGAGGCCGAUCUCUGCGCAUUUGGGGGCUGACGCUCGUUCAGGCCUGUGUGCAUCGUGGUGCAAUUUCCUGCUUACUUCGCCGAGUCUCCUGGUCAGCCCCACCACCUGCCACAUUGUGGUGUCAGUGAAUGUUCGCCGAAUGAAUGAAUGAAUGAAUGGACAAAUCUGAAAAGCAAAAUGCAGGCUUUGGCAUUAUUGCUAUUUUUUGAACACAGGUCCACGUGAAUCACAUUGCAAAGAAAAUCCUUUUUCAAGCUUCUGGUCAUAGCCAGAAACCGAAUAUUAUGCAACAUUCAAGAGACGGUCAGAAAUGACGCAAAGCAUUGGAUGCUCUUUGCCCCUAAUGAGAUUAUCCAUGAGAAAACUGAGUGAAUUUCGAGGCAAACAGAGAGAUGGGUGGAGAGAGAAAAGGCACAAGAUGCAAGUCUCUGAGAGGCAGAGACAGGCUGCGGAGUUUCUACCCUACUACCUGCUAAACACAAAUACAGGGAAGUGUCUCUCUGUCUCUUUUUGCUUGGGCAACAAAACGCCCCACCUUUAAAGGAAGAUGAGAAAAUGCAUGCUUAUUACAAAGUGUCACUCACAAAGUUCAGCACAUAACAAAAAAUUACUAGACACGUGAAGAGACAGAAAAAUGCAACCUGUUGUCAAGAGGAAAAGUGGUCAGUAGUUCUCGAUGGAAAAUUUUAAAUAGAAGAAAAAGACAUCAGUUGUAUAUUUACAAGGACCACCCAGGUCGCCAGUGACCAAAGGUCCAUCGAGAAAGGACUGGCCGAGGAGGAGACAAUGAGUCCUCUUAGCAGACUCUCCCACUGGCUGUAAAGGAAGGUGACAAACAUGUAGACGAAGGUCCUGCAGAUCUGUGAGUUUUGUGGUUAUGCUAAGAUCACAAAUGACAAGGCUGGAAAAAAAAUCUUAGUGCUCUGUCUACCCGUCUCAUUAUUUGUGGGGAAGUCGGGACUCGGGGAAGAUAAGUGAUUUUUCUAAGAUGAAUCAGGAUUAGAACCCAAACUUCAUAACUUUCCCGUGUCACAUGGCCUCCCUGUGACUAUCUUGUGCUCAAAGAGGGUCUCUGAGUGACUAUGUGCGUUUUCACAGUGGGGAAGUCCUAGCCAUAGUUUCUGAGACAACAUCAAAGUGUCAUUUCUUCUUUUCUCUCCCACAGAGGACGAGGAGGUUUCCAGUAAAGCUGUCAGAUAGUCACACAAAGUCAUCACAAACCAGACUUAAUGCCCAGUCACCUAGGCGGUUGAGAUUUGAAGCUACCGAGAUUAGAUUUCUCGAAAUAUAUGUGCUCAUAUUCACAUUUGAAUCUGUUUUGUUUUUGCCCAGAAGUAACACGAUGCGGCCGUGACUGUGGCUUUGAUCCAUGGUCGUGCCCAGUUAAUGUUAUCCAGGAGAAAAGAAAACUACAUUCCCUGAGCUGAGUUUGCACUUGCAAAGGAAUGAAUCAUGUCUUCGCCCUGAUUCUGGGAACAAAUUUGAGGCAUCAACAGUGGUUCUAAGGGACAUGUUUGGGAUGAUGGCAGUGAAGACCAGGAGAUGUGUUGUUACUAAACAUUGAAGUGGAGAUAUCAAGAAUAUAGCUGGAUGUCCAAGUCUGGACUUGAAGAGCAGAGUUUGCGAUCUGGAUUUUUAAGGGUGAUGUCACAGACUCUGCUCAGAGGGAAAACUGAAGAAACAAAUGGAAAUUUUGCAUGGUUUUGUCCACAUCUGUGUCAAUUCACCAACUAACACAAAACAUCAGCUACACGCCCUCCUUCUCCUAGGACAGAGCCUGGGCCAUUUGGAUCAUGGAACACAAUCAGCGAGCAGCCAGGUUCCCCCGCCCGUGGGAAAAUCAGAUGUUUACAUCAUCUAGAAGAACCCCAUCUCCCCGAGAGGAACAAAAGCCAAGGAACACCUGCUCAGGUACACAGCCCUGGCAUUCUUCUGGAACAGGGAUGGGCAAACUACCCCUCAAGAAAUCGUUUCACUGAGCCACGCUCAUCCGUUCACAUGUCUGUGACUCCUUGCACAUCGCAGAGGUGAGGAGCUAUAACAGCACCGAUCGGGCCCGCAAAGCCUUGAAUAUUCACGAGCUGGCCCUUUGCAGACAGUGUGCUGAGCCUGGCUUUAGAACAUCAGAGCAGAAGAGGAUCAGAAGACACAGGUGGGGGAAUGAACGGACAGCACAGGGGUGGGAAUGUCAGAAGAGGUGUCUGGGCCCCCAAAGGAGCCUCUGAGCGCCCCCACUCCCACUCCCGGUGUUGAGAAGUGUGCAGGCUUCGGUGGUGGACAGCCUGGGAUUCACUGCGUCAUGGCUGAAGGCUGCACGAUCUCAGCAGUUCACCUCGCCACCCUGAGCUUCAGCUUCUACAUCUUUCAAAGAGAAACUGUCUGUAUCGCAAGGUUUUCGUGAGACUCAGAUGAAAUGAGAAGGGGCAAGUGUCUGAGAGCUAAUACAGGACAGAGUUUGCAAGCAGACUUGUUCUAGAUCCAGGUUCAAGUUCUGACCUGCCUUUUAUAACUCUGAGGCCCCGGGAAGCACUCAGCCUCUGCGGACCUGUUUCCAUGCCUCUUCCAUGAGUCGGGCAGUGCUUCCCAGCAAGGCAUCGCUACAAAGAUUAAAUGGCACCAGCACAAACCCUGGCAGUCGGGAGGUUCCCUCCGCUGUCAGGGUCAAGUUGUCGAGCACAGGUCCUAAUGCAGGGCAUGUGUGCAGUGACUCUGAUGUCCUUGCAUCCUUCCUCCUGCACAUGGUCAGGACCUCAUCCUCAGAAUUCACAAGCCUAUCCUGCUGACACCUUGGUGAAUGACUCUAGACAGCUCAAGGGGCCUCUCUAGGUCACUAAAACCUGGCUUAUAAAAUGAUGGGGUUGGUCUGCUCAUUUCUAAACUGUGUUGGUUUAGAGAACCUCCUAAAACGCUCAUCCUCCCUAGCUCUUCUCUUAGAGAUUCUGGUUCGCGAGGCCUAGAGUGGGACCCAGGUUGGAACCUGUCCUUUAAAUGUGAUUCU